CAUGACUGGAGCACAGGACUUUCUGAUCAUUUAGACCCAUUGGAUAUAAUCUAAACAAAUAUUAUUUUUUAUCGUAUAUUAUAGUAUAUUUUAUUAUGGUAAGGUAUUGUAGCCUACCUAUAGUAGCUUGUAUGCUGUAUAGUAGACUAUAGUAGAGUGUAUAUAGAAUAGUAGUCAUUAAUUUACUAUAACAACAUAAUAGUACCACGGGAUGUCUUGUACUUAAUAAAAUAAUGGAGUAAGAUUUGUUUGCGUUCGUUUUCAAAAUAAGAUGUGAGUACCACACAGACAUUGGCUGCCCCAAUGAGAGCGGGGAGUCGAGAGCAAUUUAAAGCCAUGACAUCACAUUUCAUGACGACCGCAUCCAAAUGCGGAAAGACCUCGGUGCGGCUCUUAUUUCAAUCUGUCUCUGUUCGAGGAAAAUAAGGAAUGCAGCUUUUUUUAGACAAUACGGAGUAUCUCGAUGUUUAUUUUUAGACGUGCCGUAUUUAACGUUGGUGCUGUAUGACUGUCCGUUUAUCUCCCUAUGAAGCACCAUUUUUCUAGACUAGGAUUCUUACCCUCCAUCUUCCCUUAUCUCUGGUGAUUCAACGUGGUAUAAUGUGAUGCAGGAACAUCAGUGGCGCCAGUGAGAUAAAGCAUGGGAUUGCCCCCCAGAGACAGGAACCACACUCCUAUUCCUGAGGUUGAGGUCCCUGGCCCCAGAGGGCCACAUGAUAGACGGCUAGAAGCUAGCUCUGAGGUAAAUUGUGGAGCGGGCCUGAAGGGCAUCAUAACUAAACUUGUCCUUUCUGCACAUUGUAAAUCCAGCCUGACAGGUGGGUACCCCCUCCUACACACACACACACUCACUCACUCACUCACUCACUCAUUCACUCACUCACUCAUCACCAUGAGUCUAUUUUAGUCAUUUUUGAACCAUUAUUUUUGAAUUGUUAGCUGAAUCAAAACCCAACCCCUAAGCUCUAUCACGUCAACAGACAGACGUCAUCACGAAAUAGAAGAGAAAAGCACUGACCUGCAGACCGAUAGGAAAAGGUGAAGGAACACUCAAAAUGUCAAUGUUGUUCCCUUUUACCUUUCAUGUGACUUUGUGAAAAUUACCCCCUAACUACGCAAGUCUGAUUAUACAACUGCCCUGUUUAUUUUGGAUUCUCAGAAAGAGGGAUACAUGGGAGAGGAGAGGCUGCAGCGGUGGCAGUGUAUUGAUCUAAGCCGGCAUGUGGCACCCAUCACAUGUCCCUGAGAGUGCUCUCUGUCUGGCCUAGACUCUUUGGCCUCUCUGGGUGCAUCCCAAAUGACACCCUACUCCCUAUAUUAGGGGUUGGCAAACUAUGGUCCACGGGUUUGACCAUAUCAAAACCUGUAUUUGAGGGGGGGAUUAUUAUUUUGGGUUAGAAAAAAACACUCCAGGGCACACUUGAAAAUCUGAAGUAGUUACAAAAUUUGGAGAAAUUUUUAUUUUACUUAACUAGGCAAGUCAGUUAAGAACAAAUUCUUAUUUUCAAUGACGGCCUAGGAACAGUGGGUUAACUGCCUGUUCAGGGGCAGAACGACAGAUUUGUACCUUGUCAGCUCAGGGAUAUGAACUUGCAACCUUUCGGUUACUAGUCCAACGCUCUAACCGCUAGGCUACCCUGACCUCCUAUAUUUUCAAAAGCCCUUUUUCUGGACAGAAUUUUUUUUGGACUAAAAAAAAUCUGUGCGGCCCUCCAUAGAAUUUUGAAAUCCCGAUGUGGCCCUCGAGGCAAAAUUCUGGCCCACCCCUGCCCUAUAUAGUGCAGCAUCAGACUCUGGCACACAGCCUCCUGUUCACUUUGAUCCCUCCAUAAAUGAAUCCCCUGGUCAAAGACAGUUACCUCAGCUCUGAUCAGCUGCAUUGGACCAUAAACUGACAAUUACUGCAGACUGUCGCAACACUGGCAGUUAUGCAAAGGAUGAACUUUUUCCCUUAACUGACCAGAAUGAAUAGUCUCUCUGAAGUGUGCUGCAAAGGAUGAACUUUUCCCCUUAACUGACCAAAAUAGUCUCUCUGAAGUGUGCUUCAAAGCGGUACCUCAUGUAUUCCUCACCUGAGAGAGUUUCUCUUUACUUCUCUGUCACCCCAUACUUGUUUUAUGUCUGCCGUGUCCUCCAUCAUUAUUCAUCUUUUUAUUCCUUUUUAUAACGUAUUAUAGAUGUAAAUCUGCCAUUUAAAACUCUGUGGAAUCCCAUAUAGGCGAGAAGACUGCAGUUUUCCCCACGUAGUCCACGCUUCAGAUACCUCUGGCCGUCUUGAAAAGGGUCAAUAGGUUGUUUUGGAUGGGCAGAGAAAGGGGUUAGAAUAGGGGCGACUGUGCUUUAAUUUACUGGCCCUGUCUACGUCCUCUGGAUACAAUAGACUGGUUGGUUGGUUUAUGGCCUGAGGUGGCAGCCCUUCCCAAUAAAGCACAAAGCUGGGGAGAAGAGUAAAGACACAACUGUUCCAUUUUUAAACCUCAAAGUAGGGCCUAAAUGUAGUGGUAUUGUGUAUUUCAGACUAAAACUCUAAUGUUCUUUCUACUGAAUAACUCUAUUAUUUUCCUAAUAAAUCACGAGACCUCAUCUUCACAUGAUCGUGAUUGAUAGUUUGAUAAAGGACUCUGAAACCUUGGAUGGAAAGUGAGUCUGGCAAGUUUUUAUAAACCACAGAGCUUCUGUUUCGCCGCCUCUGGCCCAGCCAUGGUGACCUGGUGAUCAAAUGAAACUAUAUCUAGAGAAUCAUCCCCUGCUACAUUAAUGUGAGUGUCAUGCACGUAUGAUCAGGGGUGUUAAAAAUUCAUAUGUACAGCUUUUUAUUCGGGUACAGCAUUCAUUUAAAUCUCAAUUAAUCCAGUUUUCAUUGUCACUAUCACUACUGAAAACAGUCUCCGUAACCAAAAUCAGAGUGGGUGGAAAGGUGAAAUGUAGGUGAAAAUAUAAAAGCUUAUUUUAAUUAUCACCCUGGAAAGAGUGUGAAACCAUGACAAAUCCCCAUGAAAUGUUGAUGUUGUUAUUGUGUGCACUGACAUUAUUACCCAACUUCUGUAUUACUAUGGUAACCGUGUCCCCAACCUCUCUCUAAGCUUCGGGGUGAAAUUUCCCCUAGGUUCAGGAACCCUCUCCCAAUCCUGACCUUAAUUCUUAGCCGGACGCAAAACUGACCCAAGAUCAGCUUCUAGGGGCAACUUAACCCUGCACCGUUACUAACCGUGUCCCUGACCGUCC
rnacentral:lncRNA from 13 species